CAUGUGCCACCACUGACCAGCCAAAUCUUAAAAUCUUAUUAAAGAAAAAAAACCCCAAAGAUCAGGUUGUAGUUCUCAGCUACUGCUUCAGCACCUCCCUGCAUGUCGCUAUGAAGAUAAUGGAGUAAACUUCUGAACUAAGCAAGCCUCCAGUGACAUGUUUCCUCUGAAAGAAAGCUCUCUGAUCCUUACCUUAGAAGAACAGGAACUAAGUUACUCUACACUAAGUCUUCUUGGACUUAAUACCUAUGUGAACCUUUGAGACAAGGGUAUUGAGUCCUCCAGCUGUUGUGAUCUGUUCCCUACCUGAUG